UUAACUUGUUUUUUUUAUAAAUCAGAACAUACAGUCCGCUGUGCAAAUAGAGUUUUGGCGCUGCCGGCGGGGACGGAGGGGCCGGCGGCACGGCCCGGUUAGGGGCGCGAGCACGACGUCCACACCGCCUCCCGCCGAGGCAACGCGGCAAGAGGUAAUGUUCACAAAGGGUUUUGAAGGGUAACUUCGGUAAUGAUCCCUCCGCUGGUUCACCAACGGAGA
rnacentral:misc_RNA from 1 species